UACCAGCACCCGAGUGGUCGGGACGAUUAUUGGGCCUAAAGCAUCCGUAGCCGGUCCUGCAAGUCUUCCGUUAAAUCCAGCUGCUCAACAGAUGGGCUGCGGGAGAUACUACAGGGCUAGGAGGCGGGAGAGGCAAGCGGUACUUUAUGGGUAGGGGUAAAAUCCGCUGAUCCAUAGAAGACCACCAGUGGCGAAGGCGGCUUGCCAGAACGCGCUCGACGGUGAGGGAUGAAAGCUGGGGGAGCAAACCGG
rnacentral:rRNA from 1 species